GGUGCGUACACGUGAAGCGACUUGCCCAAGUGUGGGGGAUAGCCGGCCCAACGGCCGGGUUAAUACCGAUACGCUUCUAUGGGGGCAUCCCUGUGGAAGGAAACCUUCGGGGCACAUGGAGGGGCUCGCGGCCUAUCAGCUAGUUGGCGGGGUAAUGGCCCACCAAGGCGAUGACGGGUAGCUGGUCUGAGAGGAUGACCAGCCACACUUGGAAACUGAGACAACGGGUCCAGACUCCUUACGGGAAGGCAGCAAGUGGGGAAUAUUGCACAAUGGGCGCAAGGCCUGAUGCAGCCAUGCCGCGUGUAUGAAGAAGGCCUUCGGGUUGUAAAGUACUUUCAGCGGGGAGGAAGGUGUUGUGGUUAAUAACCACAGCAAUUGACGUUACCCGCAGUAAGUAAGCACCGGCUAACUCCGUGCCAGCAGCCGCGGUAAUACGGAGGGUACAAGCGUUAAUCGGAAUUACUGGGCGUAAAGCGCACGCAGGCGGUCUGUCAAGUCGGAUGUGAAAUCCCCGGGCUCAACCUGGGAACUGNAUUCGAAACUGGCAGGCUAGAGUCUUGUAAGGGGGGUAGAAUUCCAGGUGUAGCGGUGAAAUGC
rnacentral:rRNA from 1 species